ACGGGAGGCAGCAGUGGGGAAUAUUGCACAAUGGGCGCAAGCCUGAUGCAGCAACGCCGCGUGAGGGAAGACGGUUUUCGGAUUGUAAACCUCUGUCUUUGGUGACGAAGAAGUGACGGUAGCCAAGGAGGAAGCCACGGCUAACUACGUGCCAGCAGCCGCGGUAAUACGUAGGUGGCAAGCGUUAUCCGGAAUUACUGGGUGUAAAGGGAGCGCAGGCGGGAUAGCAAGUCAGCGGUGAAAAUUAUGGGCUUAACUCAUAAACUGCCGUUGAAACUGUUAUUCUUGAGUGGAGUAGAGGCAGGCGGAAUUCCGAGUGUAGCGGUGAAAUGCGUAGAUAUUCGGAGGAACACCAGUGGCGAAGGCGGCUUGCUGGGCUCUAACUGACGCUGAGGCUCGAAAGUGUGGGGAGCAAACAGGAUUAGAUACCCUGGUA
rnacentral:rRNA from 1 species